rnacentral:rRNA from 1 species
CCAGACUCCUACGGGAGGCAGCAGUGGGGAAUAUUGGGCAAUGGGCGCAAGCCUGACCCAGCAACGCCGCGUGAGGGAAGAAGGCUUUCGGGUUGUAAACUUCUUUUGACAGGGAAGAGCAGAAGACGGUACCUGUCGAAUAAGCCACGGCUAACUACGUGCCAGCAGCCGCGGUAAUACGUAGGUGGCAAGCGUUGUCCGGAUUUACUGGGUGUAAAGGGCGUGCAGCCGGGCUGACAAGUCAGAUGUGAAAUCCCGCGGCUCAACCGCGGAACUGCAUUUGAAACUGUCAGUCUUGAGUACCGGAGAGGUCAUCGGAAUUCCUUGUGUAGCGGUGAAAUGCGUAGAUAUUAGGAGGAACACCAGUGGCGAAGGCGGCCUGCUGGACGAUGACUGACGUUGAGGCUCGAAAGCGUGGGGAGCAAACAGGAUUAGAUACCCCGGUACG